UCCCUGGUGGUCUAGUGGUUAGG
rnacentral:piRNA from 4 species